rnacentral:rRNA from 1 species
GACGAACGCUGGCGGCGUGCUUAACACAUGCCAGUCGAACGGAAAGGCCUCUUUCGGGGGGUACUCGAGUUGCGAACGGGUGAGUAACACGUGAGUAGCCUGCCCUUGACUUUGGGAUAACUUCAGUAAACUGGGGCUAAUACCUGAUAGGAGCUCCUGCUGCAUGGUGGGGGUUGGAGAGUUUCGGCGGUUUGGGGUGGACUCUCGGCGGAUCAGCUAGUUGGUGGGGUAAUGGCUUACCAAGGCAUUGACGGGGAGCCGGCCGGAGAGGGGGACCGGCCACACUGGAACUGAGACACGGUCCAGAGUCCUACGGGAGGCAGCAGUAGGGAAUCGGCCGCAAUGGGCGAAAGCCUGACGGAGCAACGCCGCGUGAGUGAUGAAGGUCUUCGGAUCGGAAAACGCUGUUAGUGGGGAAGAACAUAUGUGUAAGUAACUGUGCACAGCGUGACGGUACCGAAUCAGAAAGCCACGGCUAACUACGUG